UGAUCAGACAUUUGCCAUAAU
rnacentral:siRNA from 1 species